rnacentral:rRNA from 1 species
GACGAACGCUGGCGGCGUGCUUAACACAUGCAAGUCGAACGGUAAGGCCCUUCGGGGUACACGAGUGGCGAACGGGUGAGUAACACGUGGGUGAUCUGCCCUGCACUUCGGGAUAAGCCUGGGAAACUGGGUCUAAUACCGGCUAGGACCACUGCCUACAUGGGUGGUGGUGGAAAGCUUUUGCGGUGUGGGAUGGGCCCGCGGCCUAUCAGCUUGUUGGUGGGGUGAUGGCCUACCAAGGCGACGACGGGUAGCCGGCCUGAGAGGGUGACCGGCCACACUGGGACUGAGAUACGGCCCAGACUCCUACGGGAGGCAGCAGUGGGGAAUAUUGCACAAUGGCGCAAGCCUGAUGCAGCGACGCCGCGUGAGGGAUGACGGCCUUCGGGUUGUAAACCUCUUUCAGCACCGACGAAGCGCAAGUGACGGUAGGUGCAGAAGAAGGACCGGCCAACUACGUGCCAGCCGCCGCCGUAA